UUGACACUAUUUGAACAAAUUAAUGCAUUUUAUUUCAACAGUAUACCUGAAAUAUAAAUGUAUUGAAAUACCCGAGCAACAAUAAAUCCUUGUACAAUGUAAAGAUAUUGUACUCAAUAAUUGUCUCCCCUCUAUUUGUCUAGCUCAGAAAACUCACGACAUUAUGCUUUCUUAUUGCAACACCAUUACAAUUGGAACAAAAUGUUCUCUUCAAUCAAUUCAAAGUGAAACAUUGUUCAUGAACACAAAUAGAAUCAAAAGUCAUGGCAUUAAAAUAAAACACUCCAGUAGAAACAAACUAGAGACAUAAUGUACUAUUUCAAAAUAGGGGACAAAUAAACCUACUUUUGAAACACUCUGAGAACAGGUUUCACUAGAAUUGAAUUUGUAGGAGAAACAUUUAUUGAUCUCUGAAUUGCAUUCAAACUAAGAUUAAUAUAUUGAAAUUAAAAUUUGAUUGUAGACAUAAAUGAAAUCAUCAUCUAAGUUUGUCAUGAGCAGAUGAGAGUCUUAAUCCUAAAUGGCAGAUGAGAGUCUUAAUCCUAAAUGGCAGAUGAGAGUCUUAAUCCUAAA